rnacentral:rRNA from 1 species
GGAGUCUAGCAUGUGCGCAAGUCAUUGGGCAUUACUAAACCCAAAGGCGAAGUGAAAGCAAAGCCUGUGCCUGAGUGCAGGUUAGGUGUGAUCUGGAUGCCACCCAGUGGUCCCGGCGCAACACCGGCCCGUCCUUAACUGUCUUUGCAGUGGGGCGGAGCAAGAGCGCACAUGCUGAAACCCGAAAGAUGGUGAACUAUGCUUGGGCAGGCUGAAGCCAGAGGAAACUCUGGUGGAGGGCCGUAGCGAUUCUGACGUGCAAAUCGAUCGUCAGAUCUGAGCAUAGGGGCGAAAGACUAAUCGAGCCAUCUAGUAGCUGGUUCCCUCCGAAGUUUCCCUCAGGAUAGCUGGUUCACUUGCACAAUACAUUUGUUUCCGGUAAAGCGAAUGAUUGGAAGUAAUGGGGACGAAAUGCUCUCAGCUUACUCUCACACUUUAAAUGGGUAAAGCGCUUAUCUCUCUUAAUUGGAGAUUAGCAAGAAUGUGUGUAACUAGUGGGCCAUUUUUGGUAAGCAGAACUGGUGCUGAGGGAUGAACCUAACACUUAGCUAAGGUGUCUAAUGGGUCGUUCAUGAGACACCAUGAAAGGUGUUGGUUGAUAUAGACAGCAGGACGGUGGCCAUGGAAGUUGGAAUCCGCUAAGGAGUGUGUAACAACUCACCUGCCGAAUCAACCAGCCCUGAAAAUGGAUGACGCUUGAGCGAAUUACCUAUGCUAAGUCCUGAUACCGAUGCAAUUGCUCACAGGUAUCAGGAGUAGGAGGGUACCUUGGUGAGCGCUGAAGCCUCGCUGUGAAGUGGGGUGGAGCCGCCAAGGCAGCUGAUCUCGGUGGUAGUA